AAUGACACCACAUAUAUGGCAGC
rnacentral:miRNA from 1 species